rnacentral:rRNA from 1 species
UACGGAGGGUGCAAGCGUUAUCCGGAUUCACUGGGUUUAAAGGGUGCGUAGGUGGGUUGGUAAGUCAGUGGUGAAAUCUCCGGGUUUAACCCGGAAACUGCCAUUGAUACUAUCAGUCUUGAAUAUUGUGGAGGUCAGCGGAAUAUGUCAUGUAGCGGUGAAAUGCUUAGAUAUGACAUAGAACACCAAUUGCGAAGGCAGCUGACUACUCAUAUAUUGACGCUGAGGCACGAAAGCGUGGGGAUCAAACAGG